AUCUGGCGGACGAGUCCCAAACAGGACGAAAUGGAUAUCCUGGAU
rnacentral:hammerhead_ribozyme from 1 species